GAAACACCUGCAGUGGUGCAAGAGGAGGGACUGGUGAGGAAGAGGAGUGAGAAGCCCCUUCCCAGCUCAGGAGCCACCCCCCUGCUCUGCAGGAAGUUGCCCCUCUUUGAAGAACCCUUUGAGAGGGCUGCAAACCACAACCAGAGGAGGGGAGAAGGCACAAUUACAGCCUGAGCUUGGCUUUUUGGUGCUUUAAGGAUUAAAAAGGGGAAAAUGUUAAUAAGAAAUUAAGUGAAAAUAGGCACAACUUCAUGAACGGUAUCUACAUAGCAAUGAUAAUGCUUCAGCCAGAAAAAAACUCUUUUUUUUUAUCUCCCAGGAGUUUUGUGUGGCCAGCAAGGAUUUUCCAUGUGUUUUAUUAGCAGUAGUUCCUUCAAGAGACUCUUCUGAAGCUUGGUUUGAUUUGGAGAGGGAAAAGGGCUCAAGAUAAAAAACUUCCAGAGAAAUAUUCCUGUAAUAAAUGGGAACUCCUUCCUCCCUCCCUCCCUGGCCCCAUCCAGCAGCUAUCAGUGAACCAGAUGACUCCUUUACAGUAUGAGAUUACCAGAAAAUAUGAACCACUUCUGACCCACAGCUGCAGCCCUGGAGGCCUGCCCCUGUGUCCCUCUUGGAAUGGAUGCAGACACUCAGAACAAACUGUCCUGGUGUGGUCCACUCUGACAUCAGUCCAUCUGCUCUUCAAGAAUAAGAAGUAGAAAAAUAUCUAAUGAGUGACAGUGGUCAGAUAUUGGAGGUGAAUUUUAAAUAAAAGGAAUCUGAAACUAACCAGGCAUUGCACAAACAGCAAUUUAAGAUGAAUAAUUUUCUCUUCUAAGGGAAAAGACUGUCUGCAGGGAGAGCCUGGCCUCACUGCUUGAUGGGAACCAGAAUGGAGAGGAGAGAGGAACUCCUCAGGGUGUGCUUUGGCAGAAUUAUGAAAUAAAUAUAAAAAUGUACUGGGUGGGAAUACUUUCCUCUGUUACAAAUGGUUUGAAACAUUCUUAGGGUUUUUGGCCAACUGAAUACAUAAUCCUUUAACUAUAACAUCCUUGGCAAAGAGUGUGCUUCAGCCUCUGUCUUGUUGGAAGAUGCUGUUCAAAACUGAUUUAUUUCAGUUUGGUGUGCACUGCAGUUUGGAGGUGGCACUUGGGGUCACAGUUCAGGGGUGAUUGUGGUGGUGCUGGAACACAGUUGGAGCAGGUGAUCUUUAAGUUCUCUGUGAACCUUGAUGAUUCCAUGGUUUGUAAUAGAUGAGUGAUUCAUAAUGACUUUAUGAUUGUGUGUAGCAGGGCACUACAUGACAUUAAUAUAAGCUGAGGGUUUAUUAGCUGCCUUACUAUUUGUGGAUAUAUCAUUUUUUUAGUACUGUCUUGCUUAAUCCAUAAGCAUUGUGGUGUUUUAAAUGAAUUACACCUUGGGGCUGCAGUCGCAGAGGGAGAGCCAGGCCCCUGAGGAGGGCUCUGUGUUCUUGUUGGGGCUGAAGCUGCAGCUCAGCCCUGGUGAAUCCUCACAACCACUCCCAAAGAGAAGAUCUCUGAAAAAGCAAAUGGACACCAUGCAAACAGGCAGGAUUAAACCAGGAUAUUUCCUUAACUCCCCAAAGAAUUAUGAAGAAUGAUGUUUUCACUCUAAAAAGUGGGAAAGGAGGUGUUGCAGUUUUAGGGACUGGAGUGUCUGUGUGCUGAUGUCAACACAGCAAAAGGUCUCCAGUCACAACAAUGAAAAAUGGCACUAGCACUGCUGCCUCAGUUCUGCAUUAGCAUCUUGGCUCAUCAUUCAGAGAUUUAGAGCACAGAAUAAUAGUUUUCUCCUUCAAGUUAAGGUUAAAGAGCAAAUUCUUAACACAAAUGUUUCGUAUAAAAUUGAUUUCAUUCUGGUAAAUCUGAGAAUAAACAAAUCCUCUCUCUAGUGCAAUGCCUGUAAAUAAUUUAUUUGAAAGCAUUUACACAAUCAGAAAAAACCAGGGUUGAAGGAGGAGGUCAUCUAAUCCACUGAACUCUCUUUUAAAUCUAUCUCUGCUUAAAAAUCUCAAUGCAGUACCAGAAACUAUUUCAUUAGAGUGGCAUGAUGAAGUUCUUCACUAACUUACAGUGAAGAAUUGCCUACUUCUAAUUCAUUUCCCUGGAAGCAGGGGAAAGUCACCAUCUUAGUCCUGCUCUGUGGGCAUUGAAGUGAGGUUCUCCUUUUUCUCCUUUCACUUUACUGGCAGUUUUUGUUACAUUUUGAAGUUUUUAAACAGUAACUUCAGUCUAAAGACCAUAAAGACUUUUGUAUCUGCUGAUAUCUGAGGGAUUUGUGUUGGUGAUUUUGUGUAUCUCUGCUCAACUCAAGCUGAUUCUCACUUUGAAUUAAUUAUUUUGAUUAUUCUUUUCCCAUCUGGGCAGUCCAGUUCCAAGCCAUCCUUUUGGAAAAUGAUGCAACUUGGGUGCUUAGCUGUAAAUUAUAACCACUCCUCUGGGGGUGUGUUAGGAGUGGAGAUGGAAGCAACUUUAGCUGAGCCAAGGGAAGAUGGAGGAGAUGGUGCAAGGUGUGAGUAUGCUCAGGGUGUUUGCUGUGAGGGAAGAAGGCAUUGUAAAUAGGGUAAUGUGUGCUGCACCUACUACAUCAUCCAGCAAAAGCAGGAGGAUGAUGGUGGAAAGAUGCUCAAUGUGUAUAAGGCCCCAACAAAUGAUUUUUUUUGUCUUUAAGACUGGUACAAGUUGAAAACUUGCUGAGCAAAAAUAUUUAGAAAUAAAGGCAAUGGAGCUGGCGGGAGACUUGCUGCUGGAAUCAAUAAUAAAAGGAUAAUCUGUCUUUCUUUGUGGUACACAAAGCAAUAAUCUGUUGUUCAGAUUGAUUAAAUGCCUCAGCUCUGCUUCGAUUAUUAAUCAAUCUCCAAACCAGUUAUUGUGAGUAUAAUACAAAGUGCUGGAGAUUGUGGAUAGUGGUGAUGGGAGCAGGAGGGUGGGGGAGUCUUUUCUCCAUCAUGGGAACAAAAUGGAGCUGAGGUGAGGUGGAGGGUCUGUGUGGAUGGGUUUUUGUUGAUUUCCAUGUGAGAGGUUUGACUGCAGAAUUCUAAAAGGGGAUCUGAAGAUCAAGGUGACACAAGCCAGCGGGAUUUUGAUCUCUGAUUCACAAAUGGAGGAGGUGCCAUUGACCAGACAGAGAAGGAAUGUAAAAUAUGAGAACAAAGCUUGGCUAGAAAAGCCUGACCAGUUACCUUUUGGAACCAUGCUGUUGUCUGGUGUAUUCUUUGCACUAAUAAUUUAUUUAAUUUCAUUCUCACACUACAGCUUUUUGAGUUGUGGGCUAGCCUAGGCUUUCAGCUUUCAAGCUUUUUAAGUUAUGAGGAAAAAAAUCUCUCCUUCCUAUGUAUUUUGCACGUUCUUGCAGUGGGGUCACAUUAUUGCCAAAGUGGUUUGUUGAUUUUACUGGUAGGUUGGGUGAUGUUUUAACAGGCAGUGCAAAGAGUCAAAAUUUCACUUGUCUGAAUGGCUCUUUACUUCUGAAAGGGGGAGGUUGGGUUUGCCUUUCUUUAUCUUUUUUGACUUCUCUUAAGAGAUACAAAUAUACCUGUUUGACUGAAAUUUAUCAAUCACACUUCAUGAAAUGCAAAAUCACUUCAGGCCCUGAGUAGUAACCUUUAAUUUGUCUCCCCUUUGAGUCCAGAGUUGGACUUUCCAGAGGUCCCUCUCAACUUCUCUUACUCACCUUGGUCAUCCCAGCCUGGCAGGACUCAGAGGAAUUAAAUCAAUUUAUUCUCCCUGGGAACAGUUCCAUUCAGGAACUUAAGAUGUCUUGAAUUAAACCUCAUUUAUUAAAGGAGUGUCAAUGAUAUCAGCAGCCCUGAUAACUGUCUCGUAGGAAGUCAGAUGGUUGACAAAGAAAAAGAAAGCAGCAGGAGACAAUUAGCACGUGCUGUCCCUUGGACUACCUGAAUACUCCAAGACUGAAAAAUUCACUAAUAUGAUAAGCAAAAUGAUGGAGACUGGCCACCACAAAUUGGCUCGUUCUUUCAAUUUUAAACUGGAUGUAUGAUCUUGAAAUAACCUUUGAAGUGAUCACCCUGGAAAGAACAGAGCGUUCCCUGUGAAAAAGCAUUGAAGUCAGUUCAUGUGAUGCACACUUUUGGGUUCCCACUUCCCACAGGAACACAUCAGAAGACAAGGACAGCUGUGAGUGCAGUGAGUCCAGCAAUUAUCAGAGCCACUUGAAAGCUUUUCUUUGAAUUGCUGCCAUGAUGAGACCAGGUGACAAAACAUGUAAUGAAAUGCUGCAUCUUCAGAAAAAUGUAAAGUUGGUGUCGUGUAACACUUCUUUGAUAGAUUAGUCAAUGUAAUUGCAUGAAAUAAAUGUCAUCACCUGUAUGAAGAUAAAUAGCUGCUCCUGCACUAGCAUGCUUUUGCACAUAAAAUGUGCCAUUUUACCAGUUGUCCCCAUUUUUUUGCCAAAUAGAUUUUAUAGUGGCCAUAAAAGAAAAGUGUGAUGUGUCUACUUAAGUGUUACAGUGUUAACAGAGGGCAUUUCUGUGCUUCUAUAUAAUUGAAAUUAUGACAGUUUUACUUGAAAAGUUGUUUUGUAGCACUGUUACUUGACAAAAAUGUUCAUUUCCAUUUCCUGACGUAUCUAAAAGUCAAAAUGCGUGGAAUCAGAUGCACAUGCAUCAUUAGCAUGUGGGUGGCUGGAAUUUUGUGCUCAUAAUGCUCCUUUUUGCCACGGAUGCCUGAAAUGGGGCUGUGCUGUGUUCUCCUGGCAGAGUGGGACACCAGGCUGGCACCUGCAGGGGUGGCAGUGACAGCGUGGAGAUGUCAGCUCAUUCUGUCCUGACAGCAGCACUGCCAGGGCACAAGAGAAAAGUGUCCACAGCAUGUCCUUGCUAUAAAGGAAAGGUCAAAUAGGAUUGUCAAAAGCAUUUAAAAACAUUAGAGCUGUUUCAGACGUUUUUAGUGUGGAUUGGAAAGUAUUUCCUCUUGUGUACAUGUACAGGGGAUAAAGUGAAAAUCUAUAUUGUAAAUAUGAAAAUUGCUAAGAAUUUUGGGAUGAGUUAACUACCAGGCAACUACUUGGUGUCAUAUUUGCUAGGUUGAUUUGGGGUCCAAAACCAGUUGUCUGAAUUUUUUUAAGUGAAAGUCUGCAUUUCAUCUGACACACUGAUAUCCCAGGCUUAAUGAAAGCAACCUUUUUAACAGCUCACUAAACAAACCAAUAUGUGUUCAGAUGAAGAACUCAAUUAUUUUCAUGUUUGCUAAGUACCAACUAUCCUGGACAGGUUUGGACACCUCCUUACUCUUGUUACUCCUGUUUUGUGCAGAAGUUCUCAUUUUGCUUUUUGUAGCUAACACUAAUUUAACAGAUAGUACUUGGUGGCAUUUGAAAAUGGAUUUUUUUCUCUAGGUCUCUAAGUGUAACGUUUCCCCUGUGAAACACCAGGAAAAACAUUUUUUUUUAGUGUCUGAGGGAAUCUGGCUGGAUGUCUGCAUGUGGGACACGCUGUGUUUGGUAAUCGUGGGAGUGGGUCCAGCACAAGGGCAGCAGUUUAUUCCUGCAUGAGAUGAUUCCCAGUUUGUGCCAUUAGCUGCAGGGAUUGGCGGUGCACUAAUUAGAGCAGUGACAGCUGCACAGCCUGUCCCGUGCUGCUGUGCCCUGCCACUCGCUGUGGGUGUGCUGCUAAGGCCUCGCUGCAGAUGUUUGCUUCAGAUUAGUUCAAUCCUCACAACUGGCAAAUCCCCAAAGGAGCCACGGGAAACUUCUCAAAUGAGUGAAAUCAGCUUCUGUCCAAAUCCCAAGGGGCUGGGUGGCACUUUCUGGGCAGGCAGGCUUGUGAAAGCUCUCGCUGCCUGCACAGCAGUGAUUGCCCUGUGCAAACACGCCAGGAGCACCCUCAGCAGGGCCUGAUCAUGUGUGAUAAGGAACAGAGAACACACUUGCUUUUUGAGCUGCAUAUGCUUUUUAAUUUCCCCAUCAGGAGAUGCACGUGAAUGUACUUUCACACAGCUCGUUGGCUAACAGCCCAAACUGUAUUUUAAUAUUUCCGUUCCUGUAGCUGAAGGGGUCAGGGCUGAUGUACUGGGACCCAGUUAGCAGUGCAGUUAAUGAUGCAGAGCUUUCUGCCUUGGCUGCAAGGAGAUGUUCCUAUUCCUGCAGGGAUGCAGGUCUGUGUGCUGAUAGCCAGGAGAACAUUGCCACCCUUUGGCCGGAAAGCAGAGGCACACGGGGAGAGAAGCACAUCGUGCAAGCCGGGGAUGCUGCAGCAAAACUAUUUCAGAGUCUCCCUCUGUCUCUGCCAGCAGCAAAGUUGACUUGAGAGGCCAGCACUGCACCUGCCCAGAAAGAGGAUGGUUUGUAUUGGUGAAUCUCUGCUGAGGGUGGAAGGAGCCAGAACUGCCAUAACUGCACUGACAGAGGAUUCCCACAGAUCUUUGUUCUGUGUGACUGUGGAAAAAGGCCUCUGCCACUGGUACAGGCUUGCAGAGCUUGUCAGGAUAAUCAAAACAGCAACAGAUAAUCAGAAUGGCAAAUUUCCCCUUCUUCCUUUACCUGCUGCAGCUGGUUUGAGGGGUCUUCUGGGACAGUCUCUGAGACAGAAGAGCUUGUUCUUCUUCUUGAAUUUGACUUGAUUGCUUUCAUGCAGAACUAAUUGCCAUGUUUUCACAGAAGGCCAAUCUGUAGUGUGGAGAGACAACUGCAGAGCCGUUUGCAGCUGGCUGGCAGGCUGGAGAGAAGCACCCUGAAUAUCUAAAGUUGAGGCAGGAAAGCCACCUCAUCUUCAAACGACCUGCUAGGAAACACAGCUGACCAGGGAAUUAACUGUGCCCAGGACUGAAGCCACAGAGCUGCAGACUGCAAGGGGAACAAGGCACCAGCAGAGAAAAUGGAUGUUAGCAUUUUGCCACUGAGAUUCCUCUGUGCAUUGUCACACCCCGUGAUGGAAAUACUGUGAAAAUGGAUGUGGUGUCACCUUCACCCCCAGAUCCAGAAUGGAUGGGAGCUCUCUGCCUCCAGAGACUUUCCAGCUCUUCCUUUAACAGAGAAGCCCCAGCUCAGAGCGAAUUUGAUGAGCUCAGUUAAAUGCUGAUUGCUCCUUUGCUGGUGCCCAGACCAUGCACAGCACACUCAGAGCACCAUUCAGCCAAGCCCUGGUGCUGCUGGGGUGAAGAUUUCUGCUCUGAGCCCCUCAGCAGGAUGCUCUCUCCCUGAGGAUGCUCAGCAGUGGUGGUUGCUGUGGGCUGCUCCUCUCCACCUGCCCAGGGUGCUCUAAACUGCAGCUCUGCUUUCACUCCGGACAGGGGCUGCCUUUGAAUCCUCCCUGGUUUGAAAUGUAACACUCCAAGCAGCAAGAAAUAGAGAAAUAAACCAUUGACUUUGAGAUGAGCAGAGGGUAAUAAAGAGGACGAGGUGAAGUGCUGGGAUGUAAAUAUUCACCAAGGGAAAGAAAAUUAAUUGCUGAGUUUGGCUGGCAGCUUCUUUUCUGAUUGGGAUUAUAAAUAUAAUUUCUUUCCUGUGAGAAGCUGGGAAUGUUUGGUGGCAAAAAUAACACUGAAGACAUGCAAUCAGUGUGUUUGGACUCUGUCCUGUUUUACAAACCUCGCUGACCUUUGCUAUUUCCUUUAUUUCUAAGCUCUAGGAACCUGGCUGACAUUUUUGUGAUGUUGAUGAAUUUCACUCUGGUAACUUUGAGGUGCAUUACACUUGGCCUGUGUCACCCUGCAGGCUACAGGGGCAGGGUGAUGAAAUAGGAUAAGCUCUGAACAUGAUACAAAACAUUCCUCUUUUUUGUAACAAAAUUAAUUCUUUCACAGCAAUUUGCUGCUUUUGUUUUUAACAAAGCCCAAAUCCAAGUAGCUGCUGAGCUCAGCAAGGCCAACAUGUAUUUUUUUGGUGGGACCAACAUAUCUUGGCUGACAGGCUGAGAGGUGAAAGCUAUCAGAGCUCUUCAGGGCCCCAAAGCUGUUUCCAUGAAGUCUGCUGAGAACCAAGACAAUAUCUGGCCUCUUGUUGGGUUGCAGCCAAAUCACAUUAUAAUGCUUUUUCUCUUGGUUCAUUUACCUGAUAAGGUGACAAGAAUUGAGCUGCAGCUUUAGCUCAAGGGUGUGUUUCCCUUGUGCAUUCAGCUUUGCGUGGAACAAAUAUAAAUAAUAAAUCUGUUUCCUCAUGAAACAGAUUUAAUCAUGGCCUGGAUUAUGGGUAGUACCCGUGGGCUGCAGGAAUUUAACAAGGAUAGGCAAAUGUCAGUCAAAUUUCAAGGAGAGUUGAAAAUCUUUGCAUUAGAUGUUGUGAGUAUAUUUGAUCUCUGCUGGCUAGCUGGGAAAGAAAUGGCAUUUCAGAGCAGAACUUUCUGUCCCUUGCAGUUUUUACAUUUGAAAAUCAUUAGUCAAGAUCGUGAAAGGUGCAUGAAAAUAACUGUGUAGAACAGCAUGCCUCAUCCUGGCUUUGAGAAUUUGUUAGAAUCCCCCCAGAGAGGUUUUUUCUUGGUGUUUGGGCUGUGCUGAUGUGCCAGGUUCUAGUCUGGAAUUGCCCAGCCAGGGAAAUGCUGACUAUUACCAGCUCUUCCUCUGUGAGGUUUUACCCUUUUUAAGUGAGGCCCAGAAAAGCCAAAAGCUCCCUGCUCUGCUGACUGAAUUUCUCAGGGAGUUUUGGCAGAAUAAAGGGGUCUGUGCAGUAGUGGUGGGGGUUUAUUUUGUUUUGUUUGGAUCAAAAGCUGAGUGAAAAACUGAGAUGGAGCAGCAUCCCUGUGUGUGCUCCCCCACCAACAGCGCCAGUGGGUGGGAAGAACCAGCUACAGUUUAAAUAAAUUUAAUUAAACACCAGUUAGACCAACACAUUCACAUUGCCAUUCAGACAUUCAAACUUUCAAAUUCAAUGAAUUUGAAAUUUCAAUUUUCAGUUUUCAAUUUCAAUGAAUUCAAACAUUCAUUCAUUCAAAUUUUUGAUCUAGUCUAAAAAGGCAAAAGCUGCAGUUCAGAAGCUGCACGAGUGCAUGAAUGUGCAUGGCCUUGUGUCCCCUGUGAGCAGCACGCACAGCACAACCUCAGCAGCUCCUUCAGAAAAUUGUGAAUUCUGAAUACUGCAGGGGACCUGCCCCUUGAAAUGUCCACUGGUCACAGAAAAGUGAAAAUCAAUUUCUAGCUUUACCACACCUGCAUUCUUUAUGAUGGAAACUGUGUGCUACAGCAUGAGGCUGGAGUAUAUUUUCUUAGACAGAAAGACUAGGGUAAAUAAAGUUUACUGUGCUGAAAAACAACUUUUAUUAUACAAUGUAAAUAGGUAACUCAUAAAAAGAGCUGAGGAAAAUUCAGUGAGGAUUUGAAGCUGGAAUUUGAUUCAGAGACUUCCAAUACUUGAUAGUUUAUUUCUUAAGCCUGCUCCUGGGAGACUGGAGAUUUUUCUCAUGCAAAAAAAAAAGACUUUUUUUUUUUUCCUUGGAAAGAAAUAUCAAAUAUUCUCAUUAAUUUUAAUGACUUUUGCAUAAACCAAAUUUUCACCAAUGACAUUGUUUUUCCUUCAGAACUAAUUUCCAAGGGAGUGAGGUUUUAAAUGAAUCAAGAGGGUGUUAACUUUUUUCUGUUUAUAUUUUUUUAUUCCCUUUGGGAAAAUGACAUUUUAAAAAUUCUUCUUGUUUUCAUCACCACUUUCUUUUUUCUGCAGAUAGAUUUGGGUGUUGCAGGCAGUGCAUACCUGUUGCUUCUUGGAUUUCCAUUCAUUCCGUCUCACACAGCUCAUACAUCAACAAGAGGAUCUGUAGUCUCAGUCCUUAGAUUAUAAAUGUGAAAAUAAAUACACAGAGAUCUUGAGAUUGGCCUGCCACCCCAAAAUCUUCCUAUGAGUGCUGACUCAUUCCCAGUGUCUGAAAUGCUGAUUUUAAGUUCAAGUCAUAAAUAUCCCUGCAGCUUUUUUUCUUUCAGGUCCAGCACUAUAAAUACUUGGAGGGACUGAGAAGUCCAAAUGCAGAUUUUCCCCUUUGUCUUUUGCAUUUGACCAUUUGGAGGACUUGCACAUGGAGUUACUGAAGGAGUUAAAGCUGGAUGAGUUAAAGCAGUAUCUGGAUUGUUCAUUGGUUUACUCUUACUUGGUGUAAAUCUCCCAACCUUAUUAGAAAAGGGGCUUUGGCCACAAAUUCUGCCUUGCAGUAAAUUCCCUAAUUGGUUAAUACUUUUUAAAGUGCACAUUUAUCAAUACAAUCUCUAAUUUUAAUGGCCAAAACUUAGGAUAUGGAAGAAACUCUGCAUGUGGAAAACUCACCUCUAUUAGUAGAGGAAGAAUAAAGAGCAAAUAAGUGACACUUCCAGAUUUCUUUGCUCUCCCAAGAUUUUAUUAUUAGAUUACUUUGGUCUAAUUAAUUGGACUCUGAACUUCUUAUUGGGAGUUCUGUUUCAGACCUGGAGAGCUGAUCUUAGCUCUGUAAUUUCCUCAAGUUUCUCCAUCAUGUUCAAGUGUUGCCUUCAGGCAGGGAUUGUCUUAUACAAUAAAAUAUAUUAAUUUUCAAUUUCUUUAAAAGUAGGGCUGGCUGUUCCUGCUUCUGCUUUCUCCUCCCAUCCAAGAGUCAUGAUGGUGGUUAAACAUCUCUCACUGAGAGCAGCUACUGCUCUUUUGUACUUUGAAGUGGCAGAAACAGAACCUUUGGUAAAUAAAAACCUCCCAUUGGUACCAGGAUAUUUUAUGAAAUUCCCUUUGCUAGGAUUUUUCUGCUGAGAAGUCUCAGAAAAGAAAUGUAAACAAUAACUAUCUGCUGGUUGUGGGAUGUGGUCUGGAGGUUGUUUAUUAACAGGUGCAUCUUUGAUAGGUCUCAUUUGAGUUGUUUUGAUUUAAUGACCAAUUGCAGUGCAGCUGUAUUGGACUGUCUGUCAUGAAUUUGGUUAUUCAUUCUAUUUGAUUCUUUUCUAGCUUUCUGAUGGAUUUUUUCUCUAUUCUUUUUUGUAUAGUUUUAGUAUAGUAUUUUAAUAUAAUACAAUAUCAUAAUAUAAUAAAUCAGCCUUCUAAUGGAGUGAAGAUUCUCAUCUCUUCCCUUGUCCUGGGGGAACCCUUGAACAGAGCCACACCCCAUAAAAUCAUUAAAGCAUUGAAAAUGGUGGCAAGGACUGCAGUUUAAGAGAUGCUGCUUCUGGCUCUUGGUGCAGCAUUGUAGUGGCAGCUGUGUAGGGAGAACUUGAGGCUUUUCAGGAUGUGGGAUCAGUCCUGUCUGUGGCUCUGCGUGGAAUGGGAUUUUUGUGAGAGAAUUGUUUGGAAGGUGUAGCAGAAGCUCGAAGCUUUGUCAUGUCUGGGCAGGCUGAAGUGCUCGAGCGCUUGAGUGGUGUGCUUGGAGAUGUGCAAGAUUUCUGAGGCUUUCUCAGCUGACAGUGUGCUCUAGAUGGAGCACUGUGUUUUGCUUGUAGCUCAGAACCAUUCCUGACCUUUUCCCCUCCAAACUGGCAAUUCGUGUUGCCAGCAGAAGAAAAUGUGAGAUAAUUGCAGUGUUUUUAAAAGAAAUCACUGGGAGCUGAAUUUCAAGACAAGUCCUUUCACCUGGAUAAAACCUGGGCUGUGGCUGCUGUCAGAUUUCAGUGUGCUGGGGUUUCAUUGGUCCUGGGGAAAAUUGGAGGGGAAAUUUGAUUUGCAGCUGCUCAGAUCUGUGAUUGAUGGAGGAGCUGGUGUGGGGGUAAGAGGGGUUGGGUGCAGAGGGGAGUCACCUGUCUGGGAGCAGGAAUGCCAGAGGUAGAGCAGCUUGGGAGUGAAUGGAGCAGCUUGGCUGAUCUAUCCAUCCUCCAAGGGCAGCGAGUUCAGAAGCAGCCAAUCAGUUCUACACUACAUAAGGUGCUUUGGACAUGAUGGGAGAUAAUUGUACAGAUCCACUAAUAACAUUGUGCUUUAAAAGCUGCAAAGUGGGAAGAACAUAACGCAAAGCAUAUUCAAGGGGUGCCAGCUCAUUAUGCUGACAGGUUGGAUUUCCAAAUCCUCAGAAGUUGCAGUGUGUUAUGCAGGGAAAUGCACACACGAAUAAUCUCUUCCAAAGCCCUUGCACAGCAGGCUGGAGCUGCAAGGAGAGAUUCGUGGGAAAAACUGAUGCAAAAUAAAGCAGAAACAAAGAUGGCAAACAUCAGAACAGCAGAACCACUCGCUCUCAGGGCACUUCCAAGAUGUUUCUGUUGCUGGCAGUUGUACCAACCCAUCACUGUUUGAGGAGGUGCCAGAACUGCGUGGAUUAGAGACAGAAAGGCUGAAAAAUUCACCAACUUUGGGUUUGUCUCAGGAUCCCCUGGAAUGGGGAGUAAAUCUGAGGGUAAAUCUGAUUCUGCAGGCCAGUUCCUAAGGACAAUCUGCUGCUCCUGUGUUCCCUGCUGUUAAAUACAGAGAAUAUUCAUGUGAAUAAUGGAACAUCCACCCCUUGUUCAAGAAGUUCUGCAGAAGAGACAAAAAUCUUUAGAGCUACAUGAUUUAAUAUUAGGUGACAACAUUUAUCACAUACUCUUUUGGAACCUGUGGCUGAUGAAGAGGUUUUGUCACGGAGCUGAUGACAGCUGAUCACUGUGAUUUGCAUGUGUUCUCUCAGAGUCCUGGUGACAUAAUAGCCAGCAGAUGUUCGUUUGCACCUUGAGGUGAAGGAGGAUACAGAGCCAGAGAGGAGGAGAAAAAAUUCCCAAUCAUUCUGCACCACUGGAGUCUGGCAUGAGCUGCUGAGAGAAAGGAGGAUAAAUGCCAUCAGAAAAAGGCAGAUGUGAGGGUGCUUUCCAUGGUUAAAUGAAGAAUUUCAUGUCACAAUAAAAUAACAACUAAAGGAAAGCAUCACACGAUGAAAAGACAGGAAAUAUGUUUUUCCAGCUUCUCAUGAUGACAAAUUCUGGUCUUCAGCUGCCUUCCCUGCAGAACUCCCAAUAUUUCAUCCUGAAGUGCUGCUUUUGCAGAAACUUUCUGGCCUGGAUGUAUUUUCCUGUUAGUUCCAUGCCAGGAUCCUCACAUUUUCAGGGAGACCAUCAAUCCUCUGCAGUAUAAAGAAUGUUUUCUUCCUCCUGUGUCCAGCUAGAUUCCUGGCUGUCAUCAUUCACGGGAGGAAAGAAGAAAGACACAGCAUUCCUAGAUGUUGGAGUUAUUGGUUUGGCCCAGGAGCUCAGACUUGUGGCUCCAUUUUUAUCCUGCCUGGAGACGUGGCUGUGUGGCAGGCCUGAAUAUCCUGAGUUUUCAUGCUGUUAUUUGGAGCCUUCCUGAACAGCUGGAUUGGGUCACUUCUCAAGCCUGUGUGUCCAUCAUCCCACGCAGAGGAGGAAGAUCUCCUGGGCUGGAUUCCUCCUGGGUGCUGCUGAUGUCUCCUGCCCAAAGGGUUUGGAUUCUGGGGCAGUGACAGCUGGAGGACAGCCAGAGCUCAGGCUGCUCUGACAAUUGCCCAGCUCAGACAGGAGUGCAGGAGAUGUGCUGAUGGAGGCUGUACAUUGACACUUUGUGCUGCAGUCAUCAGCAGUGUCCCUGGAAGGGUUUGCAGAUGAUCAGGGACCAAACCCCCAGGAUCUGCUGCACCACCACAGGAGGGUGAUGGAUGAAGUGUGACCCAGCUCCUUGUGGAGCACCUUCCAGUGGUGCACAAGAGUCACCAGAUGGAAUUGGAUCAUUGUCUAGGUUUUAGGAGUGAUAUGUGGAAUCCUAAACCACUCCAGAUUGUUGCAGGUGCGACUACCCUGAUCCUGAUGAAGCAAGCAGAAGAGCUUGGAAAACCCAAUGUAUUUUAUAGCAGUGGACUGGAAGUGGAUCUGUUGAAUCUCAUGUGAACAUUUUGCUCCGUGGAUCCUGUGUGUCUCCAUCAUUUUGGAUAACCAUUACCAGAGUGCCAGGUGAGUGACAGCAGGCACUCUGAGGAGUCACCUGAAGUCUAAAAGAUUUAGCACUUACAUUUCCCCCUCAAUUUUAUAUCCAUUACACCUUUAUUCUAGGGUUGUUUUCUUGUUCUUAAUUGAAGUAGAAUUUCCAUCCUAACUUCAGAAUCUUGGCUUAGCAAACACCAAAUAUUAAAGCACCCCCUACUAUAAAAUAGUCACAUUUUAGCUGGUGAGUUCAACUACAGACAGGAAACAGAAACAUUGAUCAGAUCCACAAAUGUUUCUUACAAAGGAGCUGUUCCCAAUAAUAAAAACAUAAAAGUGAUUUCCUCCUGAAGAGUGUAUUUGUAUUACCAUAAUUAAUUUAAUAUUUGCAAUGUUACAUAACCUUUUUUAUUUUGCCUGUGAGCAUGAUGUAAAUAAGAGCAUUUUGUCAUGAGAGGUCUGAUAAUGUCCUGUUUUUGUGCUUCAGGUAAUCGCCAGCUAAACUGUAGCAGUUCUGAAUUAAGUGUGUAAAUGAGCAGAAAUUUUCUCUUUUCUUACAUUACAAUUUUGUAUUAUAAUUACAAAAAAAUAUAAUUUAACAUAGAGGGGUCUGACUUUAUUCUUCCUAAAAAAUAUCUUUAUUCCUAUUUGUAAGUAGAUAUACAAACUGAAAAAUGGCAUUUUAUUAUAAUUUUCAAUUUAAAAUAUUUUGGUUAAUAUUUGUUCGACCAAAUAAUAUUUUUUUAGGGCUAUCCAUAAUGCAUGCAUACGUACAAAGUAAAAAUUAAAAUGAAACUGUAAUUUAAGUUGAGCAUGGCUCCAGAUGUCUUCACAGAUUUUAAGUCAGUUUUGUGUCUUUUUGUGAUGGCUGGCUUUACUGCUUUUAUAUUGAUUCAGUUUAGCAGAUUGGCUUAUGUGUUAGAAUGAUUUAGGAUGCUGUAUCUUUUAUUUUCCAAUUUAGCUCUCCCUUGUAUGUGAAAACACUCUGUGUAGUGGCAGGACAGGUAUUUAUGGGUUAAGCAGGCACAGCUCUGUUUUAGGGCUUGAACAGAAUGUUGUAGUGUAACAGUUCUGUGUUUAUUGCAGGGUUUGAGGUGAAACUCCUGUUCCACCUGAGCUGCACUGGCUGUUCAGGGGAUGGAUCAUCUCACUGCCUUCUGGCAGCUGACUGUGCUCUAAAUAAUCUAAUAUUCAUCAGUCCAUGGGAAGAAAUCUGAUCUAAAGAGCUAAUUAGCUUAAUUAGUGCAGCUAUCUAGAAUGGGAGGCCUGGCUCCAGUCUCAUGUAAAGCAGAGUUAGUGUUGAAGAAGAAAGUGAGUUUCCUGCAAUAGAAAGGGUGCAGGACUUGGCACCUUCCCCUGGAGUAUGGCAGGGUGAGUGAUGGGAGCUUGGACAAGCCUUUUUCUCAGGAAUUCUUGGUUUGCUCUGUGCAAUUCCUCACUGUGGUGCUUAAAGCCCCCGUGGCAUCAGUUACCAACAGCACAGCCGUGAGGUUUCUCAGUUUGUGCAUGCUCCCAUGGCCUCUGUGGUGGAGUUUCCAAAAACACUUGCAUGCUAAGAAAAUUUUGUAAAAACAGCAUCCUUUAGCAGGUCAACCAACUUUCUCCAUGGCCAUCCUUUAAUGCUUAUUCAUUUUGGAAAAUGUUAGAACACAGGGACAUGACAGGACUUUGAUGGAAUGAAAAUGAAACAAGCUUAUGGAAUCAGAGGGUCAUUUAGGUUGGAAAAGACCUCCAAGAUCAAGUCCGGCCUUGGAUUACGUUUAGUUGACACAGUGAUGUUUCCCCAGCUGCACCAUUUCACCAAAUGCUCUGUCCAGUUUUUAAGUAAUUUUGUUGUAAUGAGCAAAAAGGAAAUUUUUUUUCUUUCUUUUCUUUAAAAUCACAUUUUUACAAACAGCUGACCCGUGCAAUCUAGUAUUAGAUCAUUUAGUGGAAACUAAUUUGCCACUUUGGGGCCAGAGAAUCAUACUUUGCUUAAUAUCUAACUCAAAAAUCCAUGGAAAGUGAAUAUAUUAAUGGCUUUCUGACUGUGGCUUCAUUUAAAUCUGUUAAUUAUUGCCAUUCCUACAAGCAUCUUUUGUGUUGCAAUGCACAAAAAACAAUAUUUAAGAGGAAUGAAUGCUGUGGGUUUCUCUCUUGAGAUGUCCCAGUUGGAGUGAAUAAUGGUGCCACAUUCCCCUCAGAAGGUCAAUGGGGUUGGAAUGUUCUGUGGAGCUGGAUCAGCCAGCACUGAGCUUCCAUUAACUCUCUGGUCCAGCUGCCCUAUGUACAAAUCUUCAGACCAAAGCUGUGGGCAUAAUUCCUUUUAUUGUUUUGGUCAAGGGAAAGGAUUUUUGCCUGUAAACAUUCCAAAAAACUUGCGUGUGGCUGCCAAGCAAGUGAUCUGUCUGGCAUUUGUGAGUUAAUGAAAGAGCUGCUUUAGCCUUGGAGCUGGAUUUCAAAACACAGAAUCUGGAGAGGAAUGUUGCAAAUGUAAUGUUACCCAAGCCUCUCCUAAUGAGAAUUUACAUAAAGAAUGACCCUGUGGAAUUGCAGCAAUGGAUGGUGCUGCAGUUUAGCAGAAUGGAAUUGUGUCUCCAGCCCAGAGCAACUUAAAAGUAGGGAUUGGAAGGUUUUGGUCUUGGGGGGAAAAGUAAGUGCUUUUCACUUGCUCAAGCCAUUCACUGUAGGCUGAAGUAGCUUCUGUAGGUAGCUGCUAACAGAAAGAAAGGCUGAGAUUACUGGAAUAUGCCUAAAAUAGUGAAAAAAAUGUCCAGGCUUUAUUUCAUUGUGCUUUACAGUCAAGGGAGAAAUAAUCACAAGGUGAAUGCAUUUUUAGAGGACAGUGAUACAUAUAAAUAAAAUAAUAAAACAGUAUGAAAAGCAAGAUCUUAUGCUUGAAACAUUCAGUAUUCCUAGGUGAUGACUAAUCCAAGCACUAUUAGAAAUUUACUUCUGAGACUGAUUUUGACCAUGUUUAACCUGCUGUGAUCACAUGGAUAAGCAGAAUGGAAGAUAGAGAAGGUGGGAGAACAAGGACUCUCCCAGCUCUCCACAGUUUCCAGAUGAAGAACUCUAUUAAGGAGAAAGAUGCUCAUCAGGAGAAUGGUGGUGGUAAAAGAGGAAUUGUGCUCUGCAAGUCCUGCAUCUUCUUUUUGGAACUGCACAGGAUCUGCAGCUCCUUUUAACUGCAUUAAAUGUUUGAAGUUUGAGGGACAGCUCUAGGUUUAACAGCGUUUCACUCCUGUUCCUACCUUGUCAGCUUAUGGAACAACUGUUUGCUAAUUGCUUUAGGAGGAGAGACAAAAAUGAAGGCUGGUAUAAAACGCAAAGCAGUAUCUCAGAAUUACUGGCUGGAAUCUUUCGUGACAUGUUUGAGUUUCCAUCUGUGUGUUUAUAUAAUGUAAAACAUAAAAUUGAAAUGUAAGUGUACCAAAAAUAAGCCAAAAAAAUAAUUGACAAACUCAUCUGGGAGACGUGUGUGUAUAUAUAUAUAUAUAUAUACACACACACACACACACAUAUAGAUAUAGAUAAAUACAUACCCUAAAGUUCCUGGAGUGGGAAUAUUUGCUAAGUUAGGAGUUUACAGUGGUGCUAAUUCCAGUGAUGUUGCAAUACAUCACCAUCAUUGAUGCUGAGAAAAUUUUCUCCAGGCACAAUGAGGGUUAAUAUUUGAUAUUGAAAUAAUUAAUUUCUAUUUUCUUAGGUCACUUUCAUUUCAGUCUGGAAGUAGAAUCAAGGUCCAGGUUAGAUUUCCUGGUGCCCUGAGCUGUUUGGAGGAAGCUUUAUACAAAUGGCAGCCUUUUAAAAACACACAGCUUGAUCAAAAGAGAUUUGUUACCUCAGAAAGCUUUGCAAGUCGUAAUUUCCCACCACCCCUCAGAAAGAGGUUUAUAGGAAACUGCACAUCCUCCUCCUCACAGAAAUGAAAAAACAAAAUGGAGAUAGAAAGAUAGAAAUGAAGUGAUUUCCACAGGGCCAUAAACUGCGACUGGAAUCAAAAUUGCUCCGGAGCAGUUUGUGCCUCCUGCCCAAUGCCUGCAGUCCCCAGGCCUGGCUGUCACUGCUGGAAUUACUGGCCCUGGGAGCUGUUUCUCCAUCAAUGACAGUCAGAGUUUACAGCCUCAGCUUAUUCAGAAACAAGUGUUGUGCAUGAGGUCCCCUUUUUUAAAAUCUGUCCGCCAUUUCACUUCUAGAUAUAAAUUAUUUGGUUCAGAAUUGUUUCCAGUGAAAAUGUUGCCUCUAUAAAUUGUACCUUGAAAUAUUUUCAUUUCCUUCAGCAAAUAUCAAGUGUUUCUCUGGUACUUGGGGAAAAAAAAAAUCUUCAUUUCAAUGAAUAUUACUGCUUCAAGCCAUUGCAUGCUGUAAUACCUUUUAUUUAGCUGACUUGUAAAGGUUGAGGAGAGCAUCAGACUUUCAUUUCUUUCUGCUUCUGGUGAAGUCAAAAGUGAUACUUUCACCAAGGUUAAGGGAAAAGGUUUUGAUCCUGACUGAAAUCAGGGGUCUACACCUGAAAAUGUUCAAUUCAGAGGAGUUCUGCCAGCAGCUGGAAUGCUGAAAUCCUGGGGUUCCUUGAUUCCUGUGACCCAGCUAAUCAGCCCUUGCCUGAGAUGAAUAAGGCAUGAAAAUAGCACCUGGCCUUCAUGUCUUCCUCAAGGUUCUCACACAGAGCCACUAAAGAGAUCAAAUAAACAGCUUUGGAGAGCUGAGAGAUGAUUCAGUGGCUAUUCUCUUUGAGCCAUGCCCAAAUGGAGCUGCUCGUGCACCUUAAUUAUCGCUAUUUUUGAUGAAUGCAGACCUUAAGCAACACCUUCUGUGAGGAACUUUCAGCACAACGAGGCUCACCAGAGCUUGCCUCUGGCAGGAGAAGGUUUAUAGCUGCUUCUCAGCAUAUUUGAAAGAAGAUUAUUGCUGCUGACGCAUUGCAAAAAGAUAAAGAAAGAAAUCAGUCAUGACACCAUAAAAAAAAAAAAAAAGAAGGAAAAAUCUAUUCAGAAGUGAGCAAAUAAAAGCAAAUAAAAGAAUACAAGACAAAUUCUGGGGGGUGGAAGAGAAUUUUUAGAAAAAUUGAAAUGGAAUUUUGUCCAAGCAGUAGAAGAGAUUUAAAGCCAUAAAUCAUAGGAGAGUUAAACCCAUAAGAGACAGAAGAGAGGAGCAGUCCCAGGUGAGAGCUGGUGCUUGCCAGGUGAGCCUGGAAGUGAAGGCACUUGGCAGAGAUGGGAUGGGAGGGGUUAACACCACUGCAGCAGCACCUGCAGCUCACUGGCACUUCACUGCCUUGGUGAUCUCGUUAACAGCUUUAAUUAUUCUUUUUCCAAUUUCUAUAAACACUGUGCUGUCAGCUCCCUUCAGCUGUGACAAAAUGGCACGUGUAGCCCAGCCUGGGGGAAGCCUCAACAAGGCCACAGAGCAAAAGUGUUUCCAUGACCUGUGACUUUCUUUUUAUUAUUCCUUUUAGCAAAUCCAAGAACAAAUACAAUUUUCUGUUGAAGUGCUGUUAAACACACCUACCAAGUGUGCGCCAGCACUGCAUUCUAGAGGGGUAAAACAUAUUACAGAAUGAAGAAAAUAGAAGCAAUUCUGAUCACCAGUUUCAUUUAAAGAUUGUUUAUGGUCCUAAUUACUUUAGAUGUAAUUAGUCAUAUUUUUUCAAUAUUGAUAGGAAUAAUCCUGUUUAUUGAGCUUCUGUUCUGAUGCCUGUACAUGUGCAGCUAUGACCUAGUUCCACCAGAAAUAAAGAAUUUUUAAUGCUACAUUUUUGCCUGCUGCAAUUAGUGAUAGAACCUGUUUCUCUGAAUAAGACUUACACAGUUUUGCUUUCAUAGUAAUGUUGGUCCUCCUAAAGGAAAAUAUCAGUGUUCAGGAAUGUUCUUUUUUCUCUGGGGAAAAAAAAUACCCAAAAAACCACCUCCAACAAUAGAACAAUAUAAAGAAGUAGAGAAUUAGGGGGGAAAUGGAGCAUUUGUAUUGUUUAUCUACUAACAAGUGUCUUUGCAUAUAGGACAGGAACUCUUUUGGGCAUACAUUUAAUAGAUCAAGAAGAACUCACUUUGGAGUGGGUAGACUUCGAGGUACAUGUUCUGAACCUUUAACCUUUGUUUGUUAAAGCAAAAUUAAUCUUUCCUUCUUCACUUUUAGCCAAAGGUUACCUUCUGUACCACGGCAGGAGAGUGAUAAAAAGUAGGAAGGGAAACAAAAAGGGAUAUUGAGGAAGCAGGCAAGACUGAAACCCAGCAAGAGUGCUGCAGGUGCAGCUACAGGUCAUACAGAGACCUUGAAGAUCCUCUUGUCCAGCUCCAGCCCAUCCCACAGCCACA